UGGUUGGAAUAUUGCAUAGUUUUAGCCAUUGGAUUUCAUUCAAAACUCACCAAAUGACUCCGCCCAUCAUAUUAUGAUGUUCCCCAGGUUUUGAACUCGAUCCGAUAUCGAUUGGUCCACGAAAUUGGACAAUUCAGGUUCGUACGAAGUUCGUUAUGAAAUGGUGUGGGUGGUGUAUUGCAUAGUUUUAGCCAUUGCAUUUCAUUCAAAACUCACCAAAUGACUCCACCCAUCAUAUUAUGAUGUUCCCCAAGUUUGUACUCAAUCUGAUAUCGAUUUGUCCACGAAAUUGGACAAUUCACGUUCGUACGAAGUUCGUUAUGAAAUGGAGUGGUUGGUGUACUGCAUAGUUCCAGAGAUUGGAUUUCACAUAAAACCCAACAAAUGACUCAUCCCACCAUAAUAUGAUGUUCCCCAAGUUUUUUACUCAAUCCGAUAUCGAUUGGUCCAUGAAAUUGGACAAUUAAUAUUCGUACGAAGUUCGUUAUGAAAUGGAGUGGUUGGUGUAUUGCAUAGUUCUAGAGAUUGGAUUUGACUCAAAACACACCAAAUGACUCCUCCCACCAUAUUAUCAUGUUCCCCAAGUUUUGGACUCAAUCCGAUAUCGAUUGGUCCAUGAAAUUGGACAAUUAAGGUUCGUACGAAGUUCGUUAUGAAAUGGUUCAUGGACCGUUAAGGUUCGAACAAAGUUCGUUAUGAAAUGAAGUGGUUGGUGUAUUGCUGAGUUCUAAAGAUUGGAUUUCAUUCAAAACUCACCAAAUGACUCCCCCAUCAUAUGAUGAUGUUCCCCAGGUUUUGAACUCAAUCCGAUAUCGAUUGGUCCAUGAAAUUGGACAAUUCAGGUUCGUACGAAGUUCGUUAUGAAAUGGUGUGGGUGGUGUAUUGCAUAGUUUUAGCCAUUGCAUUUCAUUCAAAAC
rnacentral:lncRNA from 1 species